rnacentral:rRNA from 1 species
UACGAAGGGGGCUAGCGUUGUUCGGAAUCACUGGGCGUAAAGCGCACGUAGGCGGCUUUGUAAGUCAGGGGUGAAAUCCCGGGGCUCAACCUCGGAACUGCCUCUGAUACUGCAAGUCUCGAGUCCGGAAGAGGUGAGUGGAAUUCCUAGUGUAGAGGUGAAAUUCGUAGAUAUUAGGAAGAACACCAGUGGCGAAGGCGGCUCACUGGUCCGGUACUGACGCUGAGGUGCGAAAGCGUGGGGAGCAAACAGG